rnacentral:rRNA from 1 species
AGAGUUUGAUCCUGGCUCAGGAUGAACGCUGGCGGCGUGCUUAACACAUGCAAGUCGAACGGGAAACCUUUUAUUGAAGCUUCGGCAGAUUUAGCUGGUUUCUAGUGGCGGACGGGUGAGUAACGCGUGGGUAACCUGCCUUAUACAGGGGGAUAACAGUCAGAAAUGGCUGCUAAUACCGCAUAAGCGCACAGAGCUGCAUGGCUCAGUGUGAAAAACUCCGGUGGUAUAAGAUGGACCCGCGUUGGAUUAGCUGGUUGGCGGGGUAACGGCCCACCAAGGCGACGAUCCAUAGCCGGCCUGAGAGGGUGAACGGCCACAUUGGGACUGAGACACGGCCCAGACUCCUACGGGAGGCAGCAGUGGGGAAUAUUGCACAAUGGAGGAAACUCUGAUGCAGCGACGCCGCGUGAGUGAAGAAGUAUUUCGGUAUGUAAAGCUCUAUCAGCAGGGAAGAAAAUGACGGUACCUGACUAAGAAGCACCGGCUAAAUACGUGCCAGCAGCCGCGGUAAUACGUAUGGUGCAAGCGUUAUCCGGAUUUACUGGGUGUAAAGGGAGCGUAGGUGGCAAGGCAAGCCAGAAGUGAAAACCCGGGGCUCAACCGCGGGAUUGCUUUUGGAACUGUCAUGCUAGAGUGCAGGAGGGGUGAGCGGAAUUCCUAGUGUAGCGGUGAAAUGCGUAGAUAUUAGGAGGAACACCAGUGGCGAAGGCGGCUUACUGGACUGUAACUGACGUUGAGGCUCGAAAGUGUGGGUAGCAAACAGGAUUAGAUACCCUGGUAGUCCACACUGUAAACGAUGAUUACUAGGUGUUGGAGGAUUGACCCCUUCAGUGCCGCAGUUAACACAAUAAGUAAUCCGCCUGGGGAGUACGACGGCGAAGGUUGAAACUCAAAAGGAAUUGAUGGGGGCCCGCACAAGCAGUGGAGUAUGUGGUUUAAUUCGACGCAACGCGAAGAACCUUUCCAAGUCUUGACAUCUUGCGACGCACAUAGAAAUAUGUGUUUCCUUCGGGACGCAGAGACAGGUGGUGCAUGGUUGUCGUCAGCUCGUGUCGUGAGAUGUUGGGUUAAGUCCCGCAACGAGCGCAACCCUUAUUGCCAGUUACUACGUUAAGAGGACUCUGGCGAGACUGCCGUUGACAAAACGGAGGAAGGUGGGGAUGACGUCAAAUCAUCAUGCCCUUUAUGACCUGGGCUACACACGUACUACAAUGGCGUUAAACAAAGAGAAGCAAGACCGCGAGGUGGAGCAAAACUCAAAAACAACGUCUCAGUUCAGAUUGCAGGCUGCAACUCGCCUGCAUGAAGUCGGAAUUGCUAGUAAUCGCGGAUCAGCAUGCCGCGGUGAAUACGUUCCCGGGCCUUGCACACACCGCCCGUCA